GGCGCUGUGGUGACGUCACCGCCACUUAGCGGUGAAGGGCGGCUGUUGUUGUGUCUCCCCAAGUGAACGGGACACCAAUUAUUAUCAGUGCCCUCAUUGCCCCCAGGCUGAACACGGAGUUCUUUGGGGAAAAGACUGAUUUGCAGCCAACUGAUCAAGUAUCCUGCAUAAAUCAAGUCACAGUGUGCAGCCACGCUCGUGUGCAUACAGAACGCUUGGAGGUGCUGUUGCGUGCGCGUCCAAGCGCCACGUGAGAUACACAAGCACAUGGAGCAGCUGGAGGAGAGGGUGAGGAUGGAACGAGUUGUCCAUGGCGCCCCCCCACUGCUGAGCUGCUACAAAAAUAUCCUCAAUUUCACCAUUUCGAGAAUGGACAACAACAGGAACAUUUCAAGUGUGUUGUCUGGACAAAUGGAGGGAACCAGAAGAGAGGAAGACCUCACGGAGAAUGGCUCGACGACGACAUCAGAAGAGAUUGGUGGCAGAAAAUUGUGCACUACUUGAGCAUAUUGGCAUAAGAGAUAGGAAAGUGGAAACAAAUGACGAAAUGUGCAUUGGAUACCGACGGGCUAUCUGCCCAUGG